ACAAAAUCCCUUCUACACCUUACAGCCCUUUGGUUAGCAUCAGUAUGUCUCCAGAGAAGAAAGGCCAAGCUCCUUGGUCCCUUUCAAAAAUUGGGGAAAUUGAGUGUGGGAUUUAGUGUGGACAAUUCAUGUCAUAGAUAUUUUAGCUCAUGAGCUGACAAAGCUGGAAGCAUCCCAUGAGACCCUCCAGUCGAGGGGCCACAAAUUCAAAUGCCAGGCAGGUAACUUAAAUGAGGGAUAAGGGGUUGUUAUAAUAUAACAGGAGGCAGUUGGGACCAAAGAGAAAUGGACAAAGCAUGUCCUGUCUAGGGUGGCUGCAGUGGACAUACUUGAAAGAGAGCUUGGGUGACCUUUGCUCUGGUCUGACUCCUGAUAUUUUAUCUAUAAGAAAGGUGACCAGAGGCCUUGAGAAGGAAAUGACUUCACAGGGUACUGUGCCUUUUUUUACACUUGGGAGCGACAUAAAAAUAUUUCCACGAUGAGUCUCAGACUCCCUCGGAAAUGAGCCCCUGUCCUGCCUUUGGUAUUUUACAGACUUGGGACUCCCAAAUGUGCUUUGGGGAGUGGUAGAAUUUUUAUGUGAAGAAUGUUCCCACUAUUUCUCACUUCUUUGGUUUUCUAAGGAGGAGCUGUAGUAUAUAUCCUUUUCUGAAUUUAAUGUUAUUUUGAGCUUGUGCCAGUCUCAAGAUGUGUCUAGUGUGCCCAUAAGUCACGGUGGGGGGGGGGGCAGGAUUGGUUCUUCCAGGGAACUAUGGGAGGAACUUGGGGGAGGGAACCCCUUGUUUGACUUGGAGGUACCCUUUGGCCCUGGAAAGUAGAAGGCAGUAGUGGGAAGGAUCUAGAAAACUCAGCCCAUUUCCUUGCAGGAACAACACAUCAAUAUGUUUUUGUUUGGUGGACAAUGUAUGGGAAAAUCUUUGAUUUUAUUUUUUGUAAUUGUGCAUGUAUUUCUUAGCAUUUUAUUUCCUGGAAUUGAUUAAAGCUUUCCUGUCUCUAAAGAGAUUCUUUAGGGUCAUUAAAUAGAAAAAUGUCUGUUGGAGAUGAAUUGACGGUGUUUCUAGGGACUCACUCAGAGAAAUAGGAGUUUCCUUAACUGGUUGAAAAGUUUGUUCUGAUCUGCGCUGAAUAGAAACAAGUAGUUAAUGUUUAUUUAGAUAUUAUGUGCCAGGAAUCAUGCCAAAUGGCAUAUACAAAUUAUCUCACUUUAUAGAAAUAGUCUGAGAAUAGGUACUUUUAUUAUUCCCCCUUUUCUGAUAUUAAAAUUGAGUCACAUGAACAUUAAAUAAUGUAGGCAGUGUCACAUGCUUAGCACAUGGUGGAAAAGGAAUCAAUCCCAUGUGGUCAGAUAGUAGAAUCUGAACCCUUGACAACUAACUGUGUUACAUGAAAAUGAGAAUUUUUAAGCCCUUAUAGCAUGCAAUUACAGCUGGAUGUUGGAUUUCAGGAUUACAGGUGUGUUCUCAGGGACAAACCUUGUAACUGGUAUAUGUUGGUCCUUUCAGGUAGUAUCAGAGCCCAUCUGUAUGGCUGCGCUUAUUGUAUUUUUAUCCAACACUAAACAGAGUGUACUUCCAUCACUGUCUUUGAUACCUUCCUGGCACAUUCACCCAGAAAGGAGAAUUUCCAUAAAACUGUUUGAAAACGACAGCAGUAUGCACCUGGGGGACUGCUCUCCUUGUGGACAGAAUGAUUGUGGUUGAAAGUGUGAGCUCAUAGAUAGAGAACAGACUGGCUGCUGUCAGUGGGGAGGGGUGUUUUGGGGCUGGGUGAAAAUAGUGAAGGGAUUAAGAAGUAAAAAACUCUUAGACACACACACACUGUUUCAAAAGAUCUGGCCAUUGUAAAAUAAAGCUAAAAUUAGCUCUAAUAGCACCCUGGAAAAAAAAGAAAAUGUAAAUGAGGAAGAGAAAAUUUAGGCUGUUAAGGUCUCCUUCACCACUUGUCUAUAAGGUAGAAAGGGAGUGUUUGGAAUAACUUUCAGUUUCAAAUGGGGAACCUGAGAAACACAGGUGAGAAGGAACUCAAUGAGGUCCAUCCAGCUCAGUCAACCAAGGGCCAAGUACUGUGCUAGAUGCUUUACAUACAUGAUCUCAGUCAGUCCUCAUACUAACCUUGUUGAGUAGAUAUCUUUGUUUCACCAGUGAGGAAGUGGAGGCUUCAGAAGCAAGUUGGGGGUUGAUAUCCUGCUAGUAUAUACUAGGUACAUUGGUGCAGCAUAACAGCCAAGGUCCUUCUGAUUGGUUGGUGCCUUUUUUAUUUAAAGAAAGUUAACUGCAGUACUAACUACUGAACGUCAGUGGCUUUGACUAGUAAAAAUUAUUCCUUACUUACCCAAUGACCAGUGUAGAAGUUUAUGGUGAGCCAGCAGUUCCUUCCAUCCCAGGAUACUGGAUUAGGCCUCAAAGACUUCUGCUGGGCCCUUUGCAUGCAGCUGACAGACAUGGAAAGAGAAAGGGAGUGGAGAACUUUCCAGGUAGGUUUUUAUGGGCCAGGAAUAGAAGUGGAACACAUAAUUUCCUCCAUAUUUUACUGGCAGGAACUCUCUAACUUCAAGGGAAGCUGGGAAAUCUAGUCUAGCUAGUUGCCCAGGAGGAAAAAGAAAGGAGUUUUAGUGAACACAUAGCAGUGUGCCACAUGAGCAUGCUCUACUGACUGUUGUAUAUUUGAGGUUUGCCCUAGAUUAAGUCACAAAGCCAGCAUGUGUAACCCAAAAUCUGGAUUCUUUGUAGUCUCUCAUUUUCCUCUGAUGGCUGGAUCAAAUUCUGUGGCCCUGGACUCAGUGGGUACUGCACAUGACCAUGUGAUCUUUGCCUUCCU